rnacentral:rRNA from 1 species
UACGAAGGGGGGCUAGCGUUGUUCGGAAUUACUGGGCGUAAAGCGUGCGCAGGCGGCUGCUCAAGUCAGGGGUGAAAGCCCAGAGCUCAACUCUGGAAUUGCCUUUGAGACUGAGUGGCUUGAGUACGGGGAGAGGUGAGUGGAAUUCCCAGUGUAGAGGUGAAAUUCGUAGAUAUUGGGAAGAACACCGGGUGGGCGAAGGCGGCAACCUGGUCCUUGACUGAC